UACAGAGGUGGCAAGCGUUGUUCGGAAUUACUGGGCGUAAAGGGCGCGUAGGCGGCCUACUAAGUCAGACGUGAAAUCCCCCGGCUUAACCUGGGAACUGCGUCUGAUACUGGAAGGCUUGAGGAUGGGAGAGGGAUGUAGAAUUCCAGGUGUAGCGGUGAAAUGCGUAGAUAUCUGGAGGAACACCGGUGGCGAAGGCGGCAUCCUGGACCGAGAUUGACGCUGAGGCGCGAAAGCCAGGGGAGCAAACGGG
rnacentral:rRNA from 1 species